rnacentral:lncRNA from 1 species
GGCUGCAACAUGGAGGAACCUUGAAAACAUGCUGAGGGAAAGAAACCGGGCACCAAAGGACAAAUAUUAGAUGAUUCCAUUUGUAUGAGGUACCUAGAGCAGUCGGACUCACAGAGACAGAAAGGAGAAUGAUGGUUGCCAAGGCUGGGAAGGGGUAGCAGGAAGGUAUUAUUUAAAAGGUACACAGUUUCAGUUUGGAAUGAGGAAAGGGUUCUGGAACGGGAUAGCGCUGGUGGUUGCACAGCCAUGUUAACGUGCUUAAGGCACCGAACUCUGCACUUAAAAAUUCCUAAAAUCCUAAGUUUUAUGUUAUGUAUAUUUUACCACAGUUGUUAAAAAAAGAGUCAGUGUGAGCCAAGGAAUAGAGUGGGCUUCGGUGAGAUUCAUUCCUUUUGCAAAGGGGAACAACACUGAGAAUUGCUUUUGCCGGUUCCUUUCAUUCAAAGCUUAACUUGCCCUUCGUUUUUACUGGCUGAAAAGUCUUCAAAGAAAGUAUUUGUGGCAUCAGAUCUUAUCGUAAAAUCCGAUAAGAAUGUUUAGGAAUUCAGAACAUCAAAGGAAAUGAUACAAUUUCAUGGCUAAUCUAGAUAAAGUUUUUUUUUUUUUUUAAUUGGCAGAGCCCACACCAACCGUUUUCCCUGAGGACAAUGCAGCAAGGGAACCCUUGUAGGGAGGCACCCUAUUUUAUGCCAACUGGGAUAGAGCCACUGCCAGAGGCACCACGCGGGAGGAUGGGCCGGCAUCAAACACACCAUUGAGGCUGCCAAGAGCAGGUGAGUGGAACAGAACCAAGGGUGGGGUUGGUGCGUACCCGGGCCGUGGUCCAGGCUUGUCAGGCCAACACCUCUGAGGCAAGUUUGUCAUUUUUAAGCAGAUGCUCCCUGCUUUCUUUGGGACUGACUGCCUUUUGCCUGCUUUGAAGAAGCCCUCCCAGUUGAUGUUGGUCAAAUCAGGUUUAAAGCAAACCCUUAGUUUCUAAGUAUAAUGAAUAAUUUUUAAAACUGUGGAAAAAGUUAAGCCUGGGUAACAAUACCUGUCAAAACCUCCAGUCACUGAAAAUCCCCCCAGUGGCAUGAGUCAGAAAGAGAACGCUUUCAAGUAGGACGACUCACUGAUUUUAUGCAGACACCUGUAGCUUGUUACCAAACAUGUUUUACCUUGUUGGAGGAACCUGUAGUUCCCAUCUCUUGAUGCAGAGACACGGACUCUUUUACACAUGGCCCUAGACCUUGCCCUUUGACUAACUGAGAUGGAAAAGUCUUUAAAUUGUCAUCUUUGGGCCUAUGAAACGAAGGGACUUAAAAAUGCAUUGACGUGACAGUGGUCUAAUACGACAAUCCCUAUUGAAGCGCUUACUUCUGGUGAGGGGUACAACUGUCCUCUAUUAGAUGGCUUUUCACAUUUUUGUUAGAGGCCUCCGCAGAGCUACGUCACUGUUCCUCCUUGCGAUCUGCAGCAGAAUUUGACCCUCAGCUUUCUGUCAACAUCUAAAUCAGCCUCAGGAUAGGAUUAUCACUUCCACUUUCCUUUGGCUCUCUGGCUUAUGGAGAUAGUUGCCAUUUUUGCAGACGUUUAAAUGACCCACACUUUUCAAAAAGCCAAGAACUUCACAACAUUUUGUCCAUGUCAGUCGUGCUAACACUUUGAAUAAAGGCACAAGAAAGGUAAGUGUAUUUAUUUAUUUAUUUAUUUAAUUUUUUCAGGGCCACCCCUGAGGCGUAUGGAAGUUCCCAGGCUGGGGUGGAAUCAGAGCUGUAACUGCCAGCCUACACCACAGCCACAGCAAUGCCAGAUCCGAGCCGAGUCUUCGACCUGUGCCACAGCUCAUGGCAACACCAGAUCCUUCAACACACUGAGCCAGGCCAGAGAUUGAAUCUGUGUCCUCAUGGAUACUAGUCGGGCUCGUUACCACUGAGCCACAGUAGGAACUCCCAAGAGGUCUAAGUUUAAAUGUCGGUUCUCUGAACAAGACUCACUGUUAUGAAAGAUAUCUUCAUUUUGAAGCUUCCCUUCCUGAGCCUUGAAAACCUGCAAAAAAUUUGCUAGCAUUGAAAUUACUAAGAGGUUCUUAUUACUGAUAAUAUUGUAGAUAAGUUACUCCAAACAGCCCUCCCUCUGAAACAACUGAAAAAGCUGGGUAUGUUUGUUUGUUUGUUUUAAAUCAUUGAAAAUGCAUUACUGAACUGUCAGUAAAGAAAGGCAUCCACAGAGGCCAAGCGUCAAGUGAAAGCAGGAACGUGGAGACGGGCACAGGCAUGUAAGCUGCCUUUCACCCUGGGAACAGGGGCUAAUGUGGGCGACUUGGGGCUUCUGCUUAGACAGCUACGUGGGGUGCAGGACAAAAAGAUGAAGACAAGGGCCCACCCCAGGUAGGAUUCUCCUAAGAGACCAUGUGGAAGGCUGGAUGCCACAGGACCACUCAUUGUGAAGGUCUACUAGAAAUAAGCCUGCCUCACAGACGGAGACAGCAGUGGAGAAGGCAGCUUCCAGCGUGACUCUGGAUAGAAGGAAGACAGAUUUGACUCCACACAGGUAGAGCCAAAAGUUGACUCUUCUGAAGAUUUGCUGUCCAAAUUCACGCUGCCUGUGUGGUCCUACAAAUCUCAAGCAAAGAAGUUAAAGUUAUCAUAGGUUGGGGAUGCCCACAGUAGCCUAGUGAAAACCAGCACACAUACCUGCUGAGUAAAGCCUAAAGGAACUACAUCUCAGUCCUCAAAGAAUGUCCACAAGAGCGCCCGUUGUGGCUCAGCAUGUUAAGAACCCAACUAAUAUCCAUGAGGAUGCAGGUUUGAUCCUUGGCCUCGCUCAGUGGGUUAAGGACCCAGUGUUGCUGCAAGAUGCGGCAUAGGUCGCAGAUGUGGCUCCAAUCCACUGUGGCUGUGGCAGUGGUGUAGACUGGCAGCUGCAGCUCUGAUUCGACCCCUAGCCUGGGGACUUACAUAUGCUGCAGGUGCGGCCAGCAAAAGGGGGGGGAUAAAAGAAUUUCUCCAAAUAAAGCAUGAACCUACAGUCACAUACAUGCACACACAUGCACACUACAAAGAAAUAAGCCACCACAUAUAAGAGCCAUCAGAAAUAACACACAGUGAAAGCAAAGCCACAAAAAUGUUGGAUGUUGGACAGAGACUAAAAAUUAUGUAGGAUUUAAUUGAAGCUAUAAAAGAGAUUAAAAGUAUAAAUAAGAGAAUAAAAAUACAGAGGUAGCUAUUCAUUUUACUGGUAGAAAUAUAAUAAUAAAAAGGAAAGCUUAAGAGACUUACAGCAGAAUAGGCCCAAUUUAGGAAAGAAUUAAGUGAAUAGGAAAACAGUUGUGGAAAUUACUCAAAAGGUAUCAUGGAGGGACAAAGAGAUGAAAAAUAUGAAAGAUUAAUAAGAGUCGUGGAGAACAGAAUGAAAAGAUCAGAUAUACAUUUAAUGGCAGUUUAUAUAUGAGAGAAAGAGGCAGAGGGAGUAGUCAAAGGGAUAGAAUUUCUAAAAUCUUUGCAAGAUACCAGUCUUUGUAUUCAGAAACCCAGAGGGGGUUAGUGGACAUGUUUUAGCUGCCUUAAUAACGAUUCAUUCACCGUAGAGACUGUAAAAGCAUUUUAUAUGUGGAGUAAUUUUACAGUCACAGACUCACAGGUGUCCAAAAAUAUAUUUUUAUCUUUGUAAAACAUGAUGCCGUGUUUCCAAGGUGCUUUGGAAAUAUGCCGAAGCCCAGACCCGCCAUCCAGACAUUCUGAUAUCAAAGGGUUGGGGUGGAGCCCAGGCGUCUGUAUUUUUAAACAUUCCACACAGCUGAAAAUCACUGAUCUAAGCCCCUUGUGGACCUUCUACUGCAAGUCACCCAUCUCAUCCUCACUCUUGACCACCAAGAGCAGCCUUAAGUUUAAUGAGCUCCCUGAGAUUUUUUUUAAAUUGUAGAUCCUGAUACAGAAGGUCUGGGAUAGGGUCUUUCCCUAUAUGCCUUUCUAUCGUAUGCCCAGGUGAUGCUGAUGCUGCUGGUCUGUGGACCCCACUUUUGAGCAAGGAAGUAAAGAGCUUCAUUACCAGAUUGCUUCUCUUCCUACUCGCUGUAACUUCCCACAGCUUUUGGGCAAGAGGCAGAGAUAAAAAACGCUUCCUGCAACAGAUAUCUUUGGUUCCGAAGACUUGUUUCUUGAUUCAGAACCAACUGAGUCAGUGGUUCCCAACCUUGAUUCCAUCUUGAAAUUAUACGGACUUUAAAGCAGAGUCAUGCCUGGAUAUCCUCCUCCAAGAUUAUGGUUAAUUGGAUUGGGGUGUGGUCCAGGCAGUGGAAAGAUUAAAAGUCCCCAAAAUUGAGAGGCUUUAUUCUAAAUAACGACCGUGUGUGACUGUUGGUUUUAUGUGUUAAAUUGGCUGGAUCACAGGAUGCCCGGAUAUCUGGUUAAACCUUAUUUCUGGAUGUACCUGUGGGAGUGUUUCAGAAGAGAUUAGCAUUUGAAUUGGUGGAAUGAAGAAAGCACACCACCCACUCCACUGUGGGUGGGUCUCAUCCCAUCUGCUGGGGGCUGCACAGAACAGAAAGGUGGAGGAAGAGAAGAUGGCCUGCUCUCCCUCUGCCUGAGUGUGGAGCUGGAACAUCCAUCUUCUGCACGCAGCACACGUGGUUCUCAGGCCUCCGACUCUGACCAGAGUCCACACCUUAGGCCCUCUGAUUUCCAGGCCUUUGAACUACAGCACCAGCCCCCGUAGAUCUCCAGCUUACAGGUGGUGGACCAUGGGGCUUCUCAGCCUCCAUAGUCACAUGAGCCAAUACCUUAUAAAUUUAUUUCCAGAUGUGACCUCUUGGUUCUGCUUCCCUGGAGAACCCUGACUAGUCCACCAGGCAGCUUGCUGAUGCUGCCUCUGUUCCCCUGGCCUCUGGUACUGGGGAUCUGAUCAGAUGGCAGCCACCUGCCCCACUUCGUCCUUGUUCCCACCCUGAACUCCUGCAGCCUAGAGACGCCUCAUUAGUGUUUUCUCUCACUCUUACACCAUGUAAUGUUUUCCUCCCACUUGGGGCCCCUGGGGCCUUUGAGAUGUGCCACAGCCUCAUCCCUCAUUUGAAAGAUGCCAGCAUCUUGGGACGGCCAGUAAUCACUUACCCUGUCCGUCCUUUAGCCAAAGGACUCUUGGGCUUUUCAGGGGACCUGUGGAGGAGGGAACUUUUCUAUUCUCACAUCCCCCAAACUUCAUGUCUCUUGGAACCUUUUCAUGUGCUCUCAGAUGUCCUCCUGGCAAGAUGUAGGGACUCAUCUAAGCUUUCUUUUUCGGGGGAGGGGGGGGCACGCGUUUGGCACCACAGCAAUGACAACCCUGGAUCCUUAACCCACUGAGCCGCCAGAGAACUCCCUAUCUAAGCUUUCUUGAUUUUUCCUCCAACUCUCGCUUUCUCCUUCAACUGAGAGGGGGUGUUUUAUCUCAUAAGAGAGGGCGUAAGUGAGGAAAAUCUUUUCUCCCUGUUCACACUUCCUUCAGUAUCUGCUUUGUCUAGUGAUAGGUGACGUUUAAACUUCAAAGAAGUUGCCACCAAGGCAGAGCGAGCGUGUGUAACUAGCCAAGGACGCAUAAGCAGCAGGUGAAGAGUCAGGAACCAGACAGCUCACGAUGACGCCCAGCACACCCGGUGUUGUCACACCAGCCUCCCUGUCACUAUGCCCUUUGUUUUCUAAGCAAACAUCUGGCACCUUUAAACUGCACAGAGACCCUCCCCCUUGUAGUUCCCAGGGCUUCUGAAAGCUCUAGCUGGAGAAGAUGACCUCAGUGGCCAGAGAAAAGAAAACAAUGUCUUCCUUCUCACCUUAAACAAUCCAUGAACUCGAGGAGCCCAGAAGGUAUUACUUCCCCAGAAUCUUCUAGCUAUAUACACAGUGAACUAAAGAAAGAAAAGAUUCAACCAUAUUUUCAGAAGAUUAAUAAGUAAUCAUGACCCGAAGACACAAGCUCAGCUCUCAAAACAAAACCUCUGUUAAAACCUCGAUUUUGACAGUAAGCGUUCCUGACGCUAUAUUACAUGUGCAAAAUACAACAUAAAAAUGUGGAUGUCUUAAUAAAGAUUAGAGGGGGAUAAAGCUUUGUGGUCACAUUAAAAGUAGCUACUUAUUGCAGAUUCUUAUUCCUUUUACAGUCAUCGUAGAUUGUCCGCUUCUAAUUAACAAUGAUGUGAAUUCAGCUGUGAGUUAAAGAUCUUUUUACGAUUCAUCAUCUUAUAUAUACUCUGGUUUACUCGAGGCAAAGAAUGCUGUUGGCUCAUUCCAGCUGUGUCUACACGAGGCAAAUGUUUUAGGCUGAACAAUACCGCAUGACUGGGGAAACCGUGUUUUUCUGUGUGUUCUUUCCACCUUUCACAAAUCCUGAGUGUACAAAGAGAUGUGAUAGGAAAUAUAUUUUGAAGCCGAUAAAAUUCACAUCGUUAUGAGAUCUCUCGGGAAUCAAAAUUCAAGACAGUAAAAAGAGCAAUUCUGGAACAAGUCUUUUCAGAACCAAAGAUAUUUGUUGCAAGAAGCUUUGUUAUCUUUCCUUCUUGCCCAAAAGCUGUGGGAAGUUACGGCGAGUAGGGUGAGAAGCAAUCUGGUGAUAACAUUCUGGUCGGCUAGGGACUCUCAUCUUGAAAGCAAUCAAGGAAUUAAUGAAGUCCCCCAGAUUCCUGAAGGAUUCACCUAGUAACCAGAGAGACAGAGAUUAUUUUCUGUGUUUUCAUGGCGUCAGAGAAAUAAUUUGGUCAUAAGCCUCUCCUUAUUACAAUGCACAAAGAGUAUUUUUUUUAAAGAAAUUCAGUUUGAAUAUUUAAUAUUCGCAUUUUAAUCACCGUUAUGUAUCCCUUUGCCUAAGUCUGUCUUUUUAGUAGUUUUGAUUUCUAAUACCUUUCAUGUGUGGCAUCAUCAAGAAUUGUUAACAAGUGCUGGAGUUCCCAUUAUGGCUCAGUGGAAAUGAACCCGACUAGUAUCCACGAAGAUGCAGGUUCGACCUCUGGCCUUGUUCAGUGGGUUAAGGGUCUGUCGUUGCCACACGCUGCAGUAUAGGUCACAGAUGCGGCUUGGCUCUGGUGUUGCUGUGGCUAUGGUGUAGGCUGGCAGCUACAGCUCCGGUUCGGCCUCUAGCCCGGGAACUUCCAUAUGCCAUGGGUAAAGCCCUAAAAAGAAAAAAGAAAAAAAAA